GCACUACAGCAAACCAUUUCCCGCUCCAUCACAGCUGGAAGUGGGUUAAAACAGUGCAAUAAUAACUCAUAGUGUAUCCAGACGGGCGUCCGUAUCUGUCGGAUCUUGUCUCUACAGACUAUGAUACAUAA